rnacentral:lncRNA from 1 species
CUGUCACACUAUCACAAGAUCAUUAAUGCACUGCACAAGAAAUGCCAUUCUUACAGCUAAUCUCGGAACUUUUCUAAAAGUCCUUCCACAAACACAAAGUAAACUGGGGACAUACUAACAGUUGUUCAUAAUUAAAAUAUUUAGUUACUUAUUUACUGUUGUACAUUACUAUUGCCUUAGGGAUGGUAUACAAUAUCCACUAUCAAUGGUGAAGUGAGAAGAUGUGGGA